rnacentral:rRNA from 1 species
AUACGUAUGGUGCAAGCGUUAUCCGGAUUUACUGGGUGUAAAGGGAGCGUAGGUGGCAAGGCAAGCCAGAAGUGAAAACCCGGGGCUCAACCGCGGGAUUGCUUUUGGAACUGUCAUGCUGGAGUGCAGGAGGGGUGAGCGGAAUUCCUAGUGUAGCGGUGAAAUGCGUAGAUAUUAGGAGGAACACCAGUAGCGAAGGCGGCUUUCUGGACUGUAACUGACACUGAGGCACG